GACGAACGCUGGCGGCGUGCUUAACACAUGCAAGUCGAACGGAAAGGCCCUGCUUUUGUGGGGUGCUCGAGUGGCGAACGGGUGAGUAACACGUGAGUAACCUGCCCUUGACUUUGGGAUAACUUCAGGAAACUGGGGCUAAUACCGGAUAGGAGCUCCUGCUGCAUGGUGGGGGUUGGAAAGUUUCGGCGGUUGGGGAUGGACUCGCGGCUUAUCAGCUUGUUGGUGGGGUAGUGGCUUACCAAGGCUUUGACGGGUAGCCGGCCUGAGAGGGUGACCGGCCACAUUGGGACUGAGAGACGGCCCAGACUCCUACGGGAGGCAGGAGUGGGGAAGAUUGCACAAUGGGCGGAAGCCUGAUGCAGCAACGCCGCGUGCGGGAUGACGGCCUUCGGGUUGUAAACCGCUUUCGCCUGUGACGAAGCGUGAGGGACGGUAAUGGGUAAAGAAGCACCGGCUAACUACGU
rnacentral:rRNA from 1 species